GUGGAGCCGUCCUUGAAAUACCACCCUUUAAUGGCUGGUGUUCUAACGUGGGCCCCUGACCGGGGUUGCAGACAGUGUCUGGUGGGUAGUUUGACUGGGGCGGUCUCCUCCCAAAGAGUAACGGAGGAGCACGAAGGUUGGCUAAUCCUGGUCGGACAUCAGGAGGUUAGUGCAAUGGCAUAAGCCAGCUUGACUGCGAGCGUGACGGCGCGAGCAGGUGCGAAAGCAGGUCAUAGUGAUCCGGUGGUUCUGAAUGGAAGGGCCAUCGCUCAACGGAUAAAAGGUACUCCGGGGAUAACAGGCUGAUACCGCCCAAGAGUUCAUAUCGACGGCGGUGUUUGGCACCUCGAUGUCGGCUCAUCACAUCCUGGGGCUGAAGUAGGUCCCAAGGGUAUGGCUGUUCGCCAUUUAAAGUGGUACGCGAGCUGGGUUUAGAACGUCGUGAGACAGUUCGGUCCCUAUCUGCCGUGGGCGCUGGAAGAUUGAGGGGGGCUGCUCCUAGUACGAGAGGACCGGAGUGGACGCAUCACUGGUGUUCGGGUUGUCAUGCCAAUGGCACUGCCCGGUAGCUAAAUGCGGAAGAGAUAAGUGCUGAAAGCAUCUAAGCACGAAACUUGCCCCGAGAUGAAUCUUCCCUGAGACUUUAAGUCUCCUGAAGGAACGUUGAAGACGACGACGUUGAUAGGCCGGGUGUGUAAGCGCAGCGAUGCGUUGAGCUAACCGGUACUAAUGAACCGUGAGGCUUAACCUUACAACGCCGAAG
rnacentral:rRNA from 1 species